UGUGGCCGUAAAGCAGGAAGCAGUGUAGUAACGUGUCCACGGUCCUCUGCGGUUCACCUCCAGGAGCCGUGGGUUCGAUGCCGGGAGGAAGCUACAUGAAGUGACCGAGUGAGCCCGGAGCAGAGACACCGCAGCGCAGCAGGAUGCCAGCCGGAGUGUGUGGCUGCUGUGGGCCCCUGAGGCCGAGGUACAAGCGCCUGGUGGACAACAUCUUCCCUGAGGACCCCAAAGACGGCCUCAGUAAGUCCGACAUGGAGAAGCUGACCUUCUACGCCGUGUCGGCUCCAGAGAAACUGGACCGGAUCGGAUCCUACCUGGCGGAGCGGCUGAGCAGAGACGUCGUGAGACACAGAUACGGGUACGUGGUCAUCGCCAUGGAGGCUCUGGACCAGCUGCUGAUGGCCUGUCACUCCCAGAGCAUCAAGCCCUUCGUGGAGAGCUUCCUGCACAUGGUCGCCAAGCUGCUGGAGUCCAGGGAACCGGACCUGCAGGUGCUGGGAACCAACUCGUUUGUGAAGUUUGCCAACAUCGAGGAGGACACGCCCUCCUACCAUCGCCGCUACGACUUCUUCGUGUCUCAGUUCAGCGCCAUGUGCCACUCCAUGCACGACGAGCCUGAGACCAGAACCAGGAUCCGUGUGGCCGGGAUCAAAGGUCUUCAGGGCGUGGUCAGGAAGACGGUGAACGACGAGCUGCAGGCCAUCAUCUGGGAGCCGCAGCACAUGGACAAGCUGAUCCCGUCCAUGCUGUUCAACAUGCAGGACAGUGACGACCUGGACAGGGCGGGGCACCCCGGCACGCCGUCGGGGGCGGGUCCGGACGGCGAGGAGAACCCGGCGUCGCUGGCUGAGAGCUGCUUCAGAGAGCUGCUGGGCCGGGCGGCCUACGGCAACAUGAACAACGCUGUCCGACCCGUGUUAGUUCACCUGGACAACCACCACCUGUGGGACCCUAACGAGUUUGCAGUUUCCUGCUUCAGAAUCAUCAUGUACUCCAUCCAGGCGCAGCACUCCCACCACGUCAUCCAGCAGGUGCUCAACCACCUGGACAAUCACAAGAAGACCACGCCCCGGGUCCGAGCCGGCAUCGUGCAGGUGCUGCUGGAGACGGUGGCCAUCGCCGCCAAAGGCUCCGUGGGUCCCACGGUGCUGGAGGUGUUCAACACUCUGCUCAAACACCUGCGGAUGAGCGUGGACUUCGAGAUGGGCGACAGCUCCAGGAGAAGCUCCUGCGUCAGCGUCUCGUCCGGCCGCGGCAAAGAGAGCGAGGAGCGGAUCGUGCAGAACGCCAUCAUCCAGACCAUCGGCUUCUUCGGUGGGAACCUUCCAGAUUACCAGCGGGCGGAGGUCAUGAUGUUCAUCAUGGGCAAAGUGCCGGUGUACGGAACCCCCUGCCACAGCCUGGACACCGGCAAGAUCGGGCAUCAGGGAACCAAGAGGAUCCAGGCCAUGCUGCUCAGCUCCCUCAUCAUGGUGACCUCGGGCUUCAAGUCCAAGUCCAUGGCGGCUGCUCUGCCUCCUCCCUUCCUCGACCCGCUCUUCUCCAUCUCGCUGAUGGAGGACAGCGAGCUGAGGCAGCUGGUGCUGGAGAUCCUGCUCAACAUCAUCGAUCGCCACGACAACCGGGCCAAGCUCCGCGGCAUCAGAAUCAUUCCUAAUGUUGCAGCUUUGAAGAUCAAAAGAGAAAAGAUUUCCAAGCAGGACGUGGCCUUCAUGAAGAAGCACGGCCAGCAGCUCUACCGUCACAUCUACCUGGGCUGCAAGGAGGAGGACAACGUGCAGAAGAACUUUGAGCUGCUCUUCACCAGCCUGGCCAUUCUGACCAUCGAGCUGGCCAACGAGGAGGUGGUCAUCGACCUGAUCCGCCUCGCCAUCGCUCUGCAGGAGAUGGUUCUGGCCAACGAGGAGAACAUGCCCAUGAGUAUCCGCUGCGGCGUCAUGGCGCUGGUGGCGGCGUAUCUCAACUUCCUGAGCCAGAUGAUCGCCAACCCUCCGUUCUGUCAGCACGUCAGCAAGGUCGUGGAGUUGAGGAACAUGGACGCUCCGUACCUGCUCCCAGAGCACGUCUUCAGAGACAAGUGUGUACUUCCUGAAUCUCUGGACAAGGAGGACAGACUCUUGUACUUCCAGGUGUCGGACAUGGCCGAGUGUCUGGCAGGACCCGGAUACAACGCCGAGCGUCUGUCCAUCCCCUACGUCCCUCAGGUCACAGAUGAAGACCGUCUCUCCAGGAGGAAGAGCAUCGUGGACACCAUCUCCCUCCAAGUGGACAUCAUGACCAACAACCUUCCAGACAAGUCUCAGCUGGCCGAGGAGAUCACCUUCGAGACUCUGAAGAAAGCCAUCGACACCACCGGAGUGGAGGAGCAGGAGCGGGAGAAGAGACGUCAGGUGAUAGAGAAGUUCCAGAAAGCUCCGUUUGAGGAGAUCGCCGCUCACUGCGAGUCCAAGGCGAACAUGUUGCACGACCGGCUGGCGCAGAUCUUCGAACUCACGAUUCGACCUCCUCCCAGCCCGUCCGGAGUGGUUUCCAUCUCAGCGGGACACACCCAGCACCAGUCCGUUCCCGUGUACGAGAUGAAGUUUCCAGACCUGUGUGUGUACUGAACAUCAGCGACACACACACACACACACACAACAACUCCACACGACAGCUGAAACGCACAAUGCAAAAUUAGAAAUGCUGAAAACACAACGACACAAUCUGUCCUGCACUUUGUUUCCUUAAUCUAAAAAAAACGACUUAAUUCAAGAAGAGCAUCAGCAGCUUUGAGAUUCCAGUGACUCUGAUGUUUCUGAGUCUUUCACCUUCUCACGUGUAAAUACGCUCCAGCUUCACAUCCAGCUCCUGUACGACAGUUUCAGUCUCAGCAAGUGAAGCUGGUUCUCGCUGUAAAGCUUCUACUUCUUAAUAAUAAUAAUAUCUGCUCUCGUGUCUGUCGGUCACUAACGAGUAGAAAUGCAAAAUGUGAGCUUUGUCCUUCCCAGUGAAAUGUCUUGGUUUUAGUUCCGCUGCUGGUUCCACCUGUUCGCUCAGUCUUUGCCUUUUUAAAUGUAAAUAAGCAGAAAUGAUUUCAACCAGCAGCUCGGUGUCACGUGUGGAAAUGAAGCGAACGCUCAACUUUGAUUUUCCGCUCAGAAAAGAGACUCGAGAACAAAGAGCCGGAGACACUCGUCUUCUCAGCGGAAGUGCGGUAGAAAAAUAGCUUGUGUAAAAUAUUUUAAAUUGUAGUUUUUCGUCAGCGAGUAUCAUCAACUGUCUCGAACGUUGAGUUAGAAUCUUUUCUUAUUUACCAGAUUUUCUAAAAUAGACACGUGGGAGGGAACAAGAUUUAAUAACAAACUACAUCAGCAUCUUCCAGCUCCCAUUUGUAUUAAUUUAAUAUCAUGAAGAAACUUCAGCCUUGUGUUGCUGCGUAUUAGCACUUUGUGAUAUCGAACAACAUUCAAACUUGUUGUAGUUGUUUUAAAUCUACGAUUCAACCAGCAACUUUAAUCCUCUUUUCUUUUUUUAAAAACCCCAAACUCAAAGAUUUAUCUCAUUCCAAAAUAAAAGCAGCAGCUGGAGCCUGGUACUAUUUACUGUGUAUAUAUAUAUAUAUAUAACUCUGAUACGACAUUUUAUAGGAUUUAAUCAUCGGUGCAGUUCCAACAUCUACCACAAGGCUGUGCUUUUCUCCUGAAAGAGACGUUGUUGGAAUGAGACGCUUCAUAUCUGGAUCUGCAGCUGUGAUGUGGAACAGAUGGUUAUCAGUGUUUCUUCUGAUCUGAGCUCAGUGUUGGAGGCAGAAACCUGCUGCAGGAGCAGGUCCAAGGUCGUUCAGAGCAGCUGAAGGUCGGUCAGAGCAGCUGAAGGUCGGUCAGAGCAGGCUGAAGGUCGAUCAGAGCAGCUGAAGGUCGAUCAGAGCAGCUGAAGGUCGAUCAGAGCAGGCUGAAGGUCGAUCAGAGCAGCUGAAGGUCGAUCAGAGCAGCUGAAGGUCGAUCAGAGCAGGCUGAAGGUCGAUCAGAGCAGCUGAAGGUCAAUCAGAGCAGCUGAAGGUCGAUCAGAGCAGCUGAAGGUCGGUCAGAGCAGCUGAAGGUCGGUCAGAGCAGCUGAAGGUCGGUCAGAUCUUCCUCUGGUUCGGAGACGACUCGUUCGUCCUCGACACAAAGACGUGAGCAGUUGUUUGGAUCCUGAAUGAGCUGAUGAAAGACGGAGAGAAGUGAGACGGACAAACGAAUGAAAGAAGAGAUGAGGAGACGUGAUGGAGCUUCUCUUUGUGAACGUGAACGUUUCAGGUGGUUUCGUAUGUUUUAUAGUUGUUGAGCGAACGUUGUGUUAGAAGUCAGACGACGACUUGAGCAUUAGACAGGAGCAAGAUUAUCUGGUGUUGAUGUCCGAGCUGCUUUUCCGGAUCAGUACGUCAGAAUCAGUCAGAUUAGGUUUCACAGGUUUCUCAGAGAACCGCUCGUGGACCUCGAUGAAACAGAUCAGACUUAUUCACAGGUUAUUUACGAGCAUGUGAUUUGAUUUCAGCUGAACGAAACCGAAGUGAGUGUUGGGACGUGUCCGAGGAACGAGAUCUGCUCGGAGACGUUCUAGUGUUUGUAGAUUCUCUCGACAGCUCGGCCGAUCGACCUUCACACACUGAGAUCUUUAAAUGUCAGCGGUCGCUGCUCAGAUUCUGAAUCCUGACGCAGGUUGAAACCAGGUGAAGAGUGUUUGUGUUCCUCAGUCAGAGACGUGAUGUUUGUUCUGGAGAUUCUGUGCUUUGAGCGAAACGUCUGUUGACUUGUAGAGUUUCUUUAUGAAGCGAGUGGACGAACAAAAGAAAAAUCCCUCUGACGUUUUCCUCUAACGUGUAAAACUCUCCUGGUCCGAUCAGCGUGAAGCCUCAAGUAAAGUCUCAGAAUCAAAGCUGCACCUGAAACUGAUUUAAAUCUUAAGAUCAGAUCGUCGACCUCUGACCUGGAGCUGCGAUUAUAUUUUUUUAAAAGAUUCAGUGAAGAACAAAGUUAUUUCAUCGACUGGAUCCAAAAAUCUGAUAUUUCUUCAAAUAAAUUUAUGAACUUGAGCCAGAACAGAGAAAAACAUCAUUUUUUAUUAAAGUGAAUUUGUUUGAAGAACAAUAAGAUUCCACAGCUGAUUGUUGGGAUGAGGCAGGAACACGUGAUCACUUCCUAUCAACGGGUCAUUAAAGCUGUUUAUCAUAUAUUUUUCUACAUUUUAUGCAUCACGUGUUGUUAAAUUGUUGCCGGGUAGAGAUUUAGUUACAUCGGGAGAUUGAUUUUAAAAACAGAAGCUGAAUUCUGGAUGUUUAUCAUGACUUUGACGGUUCAGGGUUUCAACGGGUUCGAGCAUCAAGUGGAGAAACGUCCACAUUGUGACAAAUAUAACUUGAUUUUUUUAUUGUAGAAUGCAUUUGAUUGAAGUAUGAUUAAAAUAAAGUAUGGAUUAUAUGUCAGAUGAUGUCAGUUAUUUUUGCAGAAUAAAAUAUGAUCUUUUUUUUUUUUUUCCAUGAGAAGUUGCAGCUGUGGUUCAGACAGAAACGCUUCAUCAGCAUAAAUACAAAUGUUUCCUGUUCCCACGUUUCAGUUUAAAACACCAGCAUCAACUCGACCUGUAAUUCCACUGAUCAUCUGAUCUGAGGCCAGAUUAUGUUCAGUCUGAUUCACACAGUUCAUCAUAAUCUCUCAUUCUGGAAAUCACAGAAAAAUAAAUGAAAUCCAGAAUAUGAGAGAAUCAAAGUGUUUUUUAAGUUUUCUUCCAUGAAUCCAAUAACUGAUUCACUUUAAUGGUCGGAGUUUCAAAACAGUAUUUCCAAAAAUGAAAGCAGCACAUCAUCACUUUUAAUGAGCAGCAGUUUCAUGAAGUUGCUGAAAACUUGAUUGUAACCGUAGUAACUCAACGAAUAAUAAUAAAUACAACGAGUGAAAAAAUCAAUAGUUAAACUGCGGGACAGUGAAAACUGUGAGAAGUUCUGGAGUUGAGGUUUUGCUCUGAGAUCGUUGAAGUUAGUUUGCGAUGGAUCUGAAUCCCGAGCUGCAACUUCCUCUGAAGCUCCGUGACCCACGAGAGCAAAGACCUGAGAUGCAGAAAUCUAUAAAGAUUAUAUUUCAUAGCUUUUGUAUGUGUUACCGUUAAAUACAAUGAACAGUUGCUUCCCUCAUACACAAUAGAACAUGACUUGUGUUUGCACUUUUAUCUCCGUGGACCUGCUCCAGCACGGAUUUGUGUUUGGUACAAAUGGACAAUUCAAGAUAUUUGAUUCCUAAUGUUCCUCUUGUGAAAUGUUGUUUUCAAGAAGAAUCGUGUGCAGCCGAGAAAAAACUAUCUCUUGACCAAUUAACGAGUCUGUGUCGCUUCUUGAAGAUGAAGAUGAAGAACAAACGGCUGCCGGAAGCUGAGUGUUGGAAACUGAACACGAUGAACUUUGUUUUUCUUGUUAAUGCAACAGUUUGUGUGUUUGUUCCAGUUUUAAAGGUGAAGUUGUCUUGUGUGUGUUCGGCUUCACAGCGACCACCUGCUCAACGCUCGGCUUUCACCACUAGGUGGCGCUGAGGCUCGGCUCCAGCUGCAGGUUCAAGACAACCUUUAACUUUAAACGCAGAAAUUUAAAUGCUUCAAAUCACGUGAAAAAUUAUUAAGCUUUUUCUUUUUUCAAAUACACAAUGAUUAAUAAAGUAAAUAAAUUCUACAGAAAAGAGUUUUGAAAAUUCCCCCGUUAAUUAAUUCAAAGAUGAUUAUUAAUAAGAAGUUUGUUGAAUCUGACUUGAACCUCGUCGGCAGCCGAGCCUCAGCAACUUUAUCGAUGUUCAACAGAAUAAAAUCAAAUGUUUCUAUCAAA